AGCAGCAUGGCGCAGUUGGAAGCGCGCGGGGCCCAUAAUUUGUAACCCCGAGGUCACUUGAUCGAAACAAGUUGCUGCUA